rnacentral:lncRNA from 1 species
ACAUGAUGUAAAAGCAGUUUAUUAAGCUGCAAGAUGAAAGACUUUUACAGCUCAUAAAGGAGGAAAGCUCAAAAGAAGACAAGGCUCUAAUUCCAGGGCACUGCUGCAUGCAGUUGAAUCAAUGGUGGUCACAGCAGAUUCCUGACACCAUGGGAAGGGAUUCUGCUCUUCUUCUUCUUCUUCUGCUUGGUCGUCACACAGACCUCCAAACUGAGCUGAACUUCUGGAAAUCAAGAAAAGACAACAGUUUAUUUAAAAAUAAACAAGGCAGCAUUGAUGAUUGGACUAAAACCCAGUGGAGAGAGAUUAAUGUGGAACAGAUGGAUGUGAAGCUCAGAAGGUUUGCCAAGGCAGGUUCCACAGCCAUCUAUUUCUGCAAUUUAUCUGUCUCAGUGCCACCCCUUCCUCACUCUUCCCACCCACUUGGAUGUUUCGGUGGGUUUAUUACUCAUGUCCAAACUGAAUGUUCUGGAA